GAGAGAGAGACAUGCGCGCAUAUCAAUAAGCGGAGGAAAAGAAACUAACAAGGAUUCUCCUAGUAACGGCGAGUGAAGCGGGAAGAGCUCAAAUUUGAAAUCUUAAAGGGUUUCCCUUUACGAAUUGUAGUUUAAAGAAGUGUUUUCUGUUGAGGUUUUGAUAAAAGUUCUUUGGAAUAGGACAUCAUAGAGGGUGAGAAUCCCGUAUUUGACCUUUACUUUCAACUUUGUGAUACACUUUCAAAGAGUCGGAUUGUUUGGGAAUGCAGUCCAAAAUGGGUGGUAAAUUUCAUCUAAAGCUAAAUAUUGGCGAGAGACCGAUAGCGAACAAGUACCGUGAGGGAAAGAUGAAAAGAACUUUGAAAAGAGAGUUAAACAGUACGUGAGAUUGUCAAAAGGGAAGCGUUUGACACCAGUGUUGUUUUUCUGAAAAUCAAUUAAAGAACUGUUUAUGCUAAGUUGUUUAGACUUUAUCAGCUAACUGUUUAGUUUUGAGCUUUUCUUUAAUGCACUUUUCAGUUAACAAGUCAACAUCAAUUUCUUUUGCUGUAAAAAAGCUUGAGGAAGGUGGCUUGAGAUUCGUCUUAAGUGUUUAUAGCCUCUUGCCUAUGCAGUCGGAGAGAUUGAGGUCUGCAGCGUAGAUCCUUCGGGGCUAAAUGCAUUUGUGCUAAGUUAUAGCAUUUUAUAGACAACUUGUUGACUAUGAUUUGUCUUGUAGCUUACUCGCUUAUGUUAUUUUACCUACGCUUAGGAUGUUGAGCGCAUGUCUCUCUCU
rnacentral:rRNA from 1 species